AUACUUACCUGGACGGGGUUAUUGGGCGAUCCUUAAGGCCUAUGGCCUAGGUCAGUGACCUCCAUUGCACCUUGGAGGGGUGCUAGCUUAAGGUCUCCCCAAGUUGGGAGAGCCUACGUCAUAAUUUGUGCUAGGGGGGAUUGCGUUCGCGCAGCCCUCA